UACGGGGGGAGCAAGCGUUGUUCGGAUUUACUGGGCGUAAAGGGCGCGUAGGCGGUCAGCACAAGUCAGUUGUGAAAUCUCCGGGCUUAACUCGGAAAGGUCAACUGAUACUGUGCGACUAGAGUGCAGAAGGGGCAACUGGAAUUCUCGGUGUAGCGGUGAAAUGCGUAGAUAUCGAGAGGAACACCUGCGGCGAAGGCAGUGUCCUGGCGAGUGACUGACGCUGAGGUGCGAAAGCCAGGGGAGCGAACGGG
rnacentral:rRNA from 1 species